AUGGCGGCUGCGCCGCGAGACCGGCGGCGAAGGGGCCGCGCUCCCGGGGCUGCCUCUGCCGCCGCUGCCGCGGAGGACGACGGGGAGGAGCACCACCUCAACCCCUUCCUCUCGGACGCGGCGCCGACGUCCUCGAGAGUCCAGUUCAGGUGCGUGCUCUCGGCUCCCCUCUUGCGGUUGAUCUGUUUGUUGCUUCUGCCGGUGCGCUUGUGGAUAGUUCAGCGGGUUGCAUUGCAUAUGUUGUGGAGCAGGAACGUGGCGUCGCGGGCGCGGUGGGUGGAGGAGGCCGGCGCGGCGGAGGUGUUGGACAGCAAGGGGAAGCUCUGGCUGACCACCGGCGUCACACGAGGCGGCAAGCUGUACUACAAUGUCGAGGAGAUCGGGUUUUUGGCAGAAAGAGGGGCAUUGAUUUUUCUCGAUGAUGAGGGUGGGACAAUAGGAAUGGAAGAAAUCUAUGGAAAGAUUGCAGGAGGAAAAUACGGGUGCUCCUGGGAUGCCUUCCAGGCUUACAAACACUUGAAGUUGCUUGGCUACAUUAUUGGACGCUAUGCUGUCCCCUGGACAAUGAAGAAUAACCCUACUUGUGAAACCACUGAUUCCCUGGAGCGUAUGCCUGACACUGACCAGAGCUUCAAUAGAGCCGACGGUGUCCACAACGGCAUCACGAAAUUACUCAAAGAAAUGCACAUAGAUGGGUUACAUCCAUCCUUCGAAGUGUAUCUACCAAAUAGCAAAUUCAGAAAGUCAUCCCCUGGAGCCCCUUGUUUCCUCCUAUCUAUGCUAAGAGACAAACCACCAUCAAGGGAUGAACUGGAAACUAUCGAAAGCAAGUGUGACGGCAUUCCUCUUAAAUUUUGUCAAGUUGAUAAUGGACGCGUCAGCUUUCUCUCCUUCGACAAAGUUCGACUUCCUAGUUUGCCCUGA
rnacentral:rRNA from 1 species